rnacentral:rRNA from 1 species
GGUCAAGCGACUAAGCGCAUCUGGUGGAUGCCUUGGCGGCAACAGGCGAUGAAGGACGUAGUAGCUUGCGAUAAGUCACGGGGAGCUAGCAAACAAGCUUUGAUCCGUGAAUUUCCGAAUGGGGCAACCCAACCCGCAAGGGUUAUCCGUGGCUGAAUACAUAGGUUACGGAGGCGAACCCGGAGAACUGAAACAUCUAAGUACCCGGAGGAAAAGAAAUCAACCGAGAUUCCCCUAGUAGCGGCGAGCGAACGGGGACUAGCCCUUAAGUUUUAUGCGUUUUAAUGGAACAGUCUGGAAAGGCUGGCCGUAGUGGGUGAUAGCCCCGUACAUGAAAGGGCGCAUAAGAUGAAAUCGAGUAGGGCGGGGCACGUGAAACCCUGUCUGAACAUGGGGGGACCAUCCUCCAAGGCUAAAUACUCGUUGCCGACCGAUAGUGAACCAGUACCGUGAGGGAAAGGCGAAAAGAACCCCGGCGAGGGGAGUGAAAUAGAACCUGAAACCGGAUGCGUACAAGCAGUCGGAGCUCCUUCGGGAGUGACGGCGUACCUUUUGUAUAAUGGGUCAGCGACUUACUAGUCUGUAGCGAGCCUAACCGUUUAGGGGAGGCGUAGGGAAACCGAGUCUGAAUAGGGCGACUAGUUGCAGGCUGUAGACCCGAAACCUGUCGAUCUAUCCAUGGCCAGGGUGAAGAGUGGGUAACACCACUUGGAGGCCCGCACUCACGCCUGUUGAAAAAGUCGGAGAUGAGCUGUGGAUAGGAGUGAAAGGCUAAUCAAGGCAGGAGAUAGCUGGUUCUCCUCGAAAGCUAUUGAGGUAGCGCCUCGUGUCUCACUCCGGGGGGUAGAGCACUGUUUCGGCUAGGGGGCUCACAAGAGCUUACCAAACCGAUGCAAACUCCGAAUACCCGGAAGUGCAAUCACGGGAGACACACGGCGAGAGCUAAAUUUCGUCGUGAAGAGGGAAACAACCCAGACCGCCAGCUAAGGUCCCUAAAUUAUCGCUAAGUGGUGAACGAUGUGGGAAGUCAUAGACAGCCAGGAGGUUGGCUUAGAAGCAGCCAUCCUUUAAAGAAAGCGUAAUAGCUCACUGGUCGAGUCGGCCCGCGCGGAAGAUGUAACGGGGCUAAGCGAUAUACCGAAGCUGCGGGUGCAUAGCUUGCUAUGCGCGGUAGAGGAGCGUUCUGUAAGCCUGUGAAGGUGAACUGUAAGGUUUGCUGGAGGUAUCAGAAGUGCGAAUGCUGACAUGAGUAACGAUAAUGCAGGUGAAAAACCUGCACGCCGUAAGCCCAAGGGUUCCUGCGCAACGUUAUUCGGCGCAGGGUGAGUCGGAUCCUAAGGCGAGGCCGAAAGGCGUAGUCGAUGGAAAACAGGUUAACAUUCCUGUACUUGUUGCAACUGCGAUGGGGUGACGGAGAAGGUUAGGCUAGCCGGGUGUUGGAAGUCCCGGUUCAAGCGUGUAGGUGGAUCUCUUAGGCAAAUCCGGGAGGUCAACACCGAGGCGUGAUGUCGAGGCCCUAUUGGGCCGAAGUAGUUGAGACCCCGCUUCCAGGAAAAACCUCUAAGCUUCAGGUUGCAAGAAUCCGUACCCGAAACCGACACAGGUGGGCGAGGAGAGUAUCCUAAGGCGUUUGAGAUAACUCGGGUGAAGGAACUCGGCAAAAUAGUACCGUAACUUCGGGAUAAGGUACGCCCCUUUUAUGUGAUCGCCCUCGCGGUGUGAGCAGAACGGGGUCGCAGUUAAGAGAGGGUGGCGACUGUUUAUCAAAAACACAGCACUCUGCAAACACGAAAGUGGACGUAUAGGGUGUGACUCCUGCCCGGUGCCGGAAGGUUAAUUGAUGGGGUUAGCGCAAGCGAAGCUCUUGAUCGAAGCCCCGGUAAACGGCGGCCGUAACUAUAACGGUCCUAAGGUAGCGAAAUUCCUUGUCGGGUAAGUUCCGACCUGCACGAAUGGAGUAACGAUCGCCCUACUGUCUCCACCCGAGGCUCAGUGAAAUUGAAAUCGCUGUGACGAUGCAGUGUUCCCGCGGCAAGACGGAAAGACCCCGUGAACCUUUACUACAACUUUGCACUGGAUUUUGAAUUUGUUUGUGUAGGAUAGGUGGGAGCCUUUGAAACCAGGACGCCAGUUCUGGUGGAGGCAACCUUGAAAUACCACCCUGACAAAUUCGAAGUUCUAACUUAGGCCCGUUAUCCGGGUCAAGGACAUUGCAUGGCGGGUAGUUUGACUGGGGCGGUCUCCUCCCAAAGAGUAACGGAGGAGUGCGAAGGUUACCUCAGCGCGGUCGGAAAUCGCGCUCUAGAGUGCAUAGGCAUAAGGUAGCUUGACUGCGAGACAGACAAGUCGAGCAGGUACGAAAGUAGGUCUAAGUGAUCCGGUGGUUCUGUAUGGAAGGGCCAUCGCUCAACGGAUAAAAGGUACUCCGGGGAUAACAGGCUGAUUCCUCCCAAGAGUCCACAUCGACGGAGGAGUUUGGCACCUCGAUGUCGGCUCAUCACAUCCUGGGGCUGUAGCAGGUCCCAAGGGUUCGGCUGUUCGCCGAUUAAAGUGGUACGCGAGCUGGGUUCAGAACGUCGUGAGACAGUUCGGUCCCUAUCUGCCGUGGGCGUUCGAAACUUGAGAGGAGCUGUCCUUAGUACGAGAGGACCGGGAUGGACACACCUCUGGUGUUCCGGUUGUCACGCCAGUGGCAUUGCCGGGUAGCUAUGUGUGGACGGGAUAACCGCUGAAAGCAUCUAAGCGGGAAGCCCACCUCAAGAUUAGGUUUCGCUGGAUCUUCGAGAUCCCUAAAGAGCCCAGAAAGACUAUCUGGUUGAUAGGCACGGUGUGGAAGUGUGGCAACACAUGAAGCUAACGUGUACUAAUUGCUCGUGAGGCUUGACCAU